rnacentral:rRNA from 1 species
CCUACGGGGCACAGCAGUGAGGAAUAUUGGUCAAUGGGCGGAAGCCUGAACCAGCCAAGUCGCGUGAGGGAAUAAGGCCCUACGGGUCGUAAACCUCUUUUGCCGGGGAGCAAGGGCGGGGACGUGUCCCGGCCCGGAGAGUACCCGGAGAAAAAGCAUCGGCUAACUCCGUGCCAGCAGCCGCGGUAAUACGGAGGAUGCGAGCGUUAUCCGGAUUUAUUGGGUUUAAAGGGUGCGUAGGCGGGAUGCCAAGUCAGCGGUCAAAUACGGGGGCUCAACCUGCGUCCGCCGUUGAAACUGGCGUU